GGUCAAUGAUGAGCCGGCAUGUAUUCUGAAGUCAAAGUUGAUUAUAACUUUUACAAUAGCUCUAGAAUUACUCUGAGACCUG